rnacentral:rRNA from 1 species
AACGAACGCUGGCGGCAGGCCUAACACAUGCAAGUCGAGCGAGACCUUCGGGUCUAGCGGCGGACGGGUGAGUAACGCGUGGGAACGUGCCCUUUGGUACGGAAUAGCCCCGGGAAACUGGGAGUAAUACCGUAUAAGCUCUUCGGAGGAAAGAUUUAUCGCCAAAGGAUCGGCCCGCGUUGGAUUAGGUAGUUGGUGGGGUAAUGGCCUACCAAGCCGACGAUCCAUAGCUGGUUUGAGAGGAUGAUCAGCCACACUGGGACUGAGACACGGCCCAGACUCCUACGGGAGGCAGCAGUAGGGAAUAUUGGGCAAUGGUCGCAAGACUGACCCAGCCAUGCCGCGCGCAGGAAGACGGCCCUCUGGGUUGUAAACUGCUUUUAUCUGGGAAGAAAAAGUCCAUGCGUGGAAAAUUGCCGGUACCAGAUGAAUAAGCACCGGCUAACUCCGUG